UAAUAAUAGGCUUCACAGAUAAAAGUGAGGCAGCAGAUCAGCUGAAACAACAACAGACUUCUCCGUCAGACAGUGAACGCACCGCUCAGCAGACAGACGGUGGCCCGGAGGUCUCAGACACAAACUGAAGAGUCACAUGAUGGCUUUAAUCAGCUGAGAGAAGAAGGAACUUCAGAAUAAUCUAUAGCAGCUUCUCUAAACGUCCUGAUAAGAGUCUGCGGCUGUCAGACUGAAGUGUUUCUGUUCGCUUCACUUCCUGGUUUCUAAACGCAGACGGAUCAGUGAUAAAGACUCCAGAGUUUCUUUGUUCACAUGUUCAGUAAUAUCUCAACAGCGUCACACAAAGAGACACAAUACUCACUGAUAUGUGUCAGCUGAUCCACUGCUGCAGGACAAAGUACUGAUACCAACGAAGAAGAGUAACUUUAAAGGUGCAGAGUGACAGAACAGACUUGGCAGAAAAAGAAUAUAAUAUUCAGAAGUAUGUUUUAAUUUGUGUUUAAUCACCUGAAAAUAAGAAUCGUUGUGUUUUCGUUGCGUAGAAUGAGCCUUUAUAUCUACAGAGGGAACAGCUGCUCUUCCACAGAGCCGCCAUGUUUUUACAGAAGCCCAGAAGGGACAAAUUGAACACUGACUCUAGAGAGGAACUUUCAUGUUUUUCGCGAGUUUGGAGGCCACCGAAGGUUCUCCUUCAUGCAAUCUGCAACCUCAUCACCUGCACUGUUUACCUUCUUCUACAGAAGAACAAGAGAAGCUAGCAGGGCUACUGGAAGCCAGCAGGGCUACUGGAAGCUAGCAGGGCUACUGGAAGCUAACAGGGCUACUGAAAGCUAGCAGGACUACUGGAGGCUAGCUUGGCUGCUGGAAGCUAGCAGGGCUACUGGAAGCUAGCAGGGCUGCUGGAAGCUAGCAGGGCUACUGGAAGCUAGCAGGGCUGCUGGAAGCUAGCAGGGCUACUGAAAGCUAGCAUGACUGCUGGAACCUAGCAGGGCUACUGGAAGCUAGCAGGACUGCUGGAAGCUAGCAGGGCUACUGAAAGCUAGCAUGACUGCUGGAAGCUAGCAGGGCUACUGGAAGCUAGCAGGACUGCUGGAAGCUAGCAGGGCUACUGAAAGCUAGCAUGACUGCUGGAAGCUAGCAGGACUGCUGGAAGCUAGCAGGGCUACUGGAAGCUAGCAGGGCUGUUGGAAGCUAGCAUGACUGCUGGAAGCUAGCAGGACUGCUGGAAGCUAGCAGGGCUACUGGAAGCUAGCCUGCUAUCCUGGUUGUUGUCCUGCUGUCUAGUUUUACAGUAAAACUCUGAACAGCAAAGAGAAACAUGGAGAAAAGUUUGCUCAUCACCCUGCUGCGUUUCUUUAUUCUUUCCUCUCUUUAAGGCUUCAAGUUUCUGGACCACGACUGGCACAAAUCCUGCAGGUUCGUCCAGGUGUUAAAAUUGAGAUUUAAGGUGAGCUCAGAGAAAGACUCAAAACAAGAAAAACAUGUUUCUGAGUGGACGAGACUUUCAAGUUGUGUGAUUCUGUCUCCUUUUCCAUGACCCAUAUAUGUGACGGGGAGGUGAGAGAGAGAGAGAGAGAGAGAGAGAGAGAGAGAGAGAGAGAGAGAGCAGCUUCACAAUGAACUCUUUUCAUUCACAUAUAUAACGGAAAAACUUCCCGGCUGGUUAACGGUCGCUCCUGUUUUUUAAAAAACACAACGACAACCUUUCACAUCUCUGCUGACAUAGAGAAAACACACACACAGACACCUACACACACACACAUACACACACACCUACACACACCUGAAACUGGACUGGAUCAGACCAGAUCAGAUCAGACUGUUGGAUAAAUUUAAAAACACAAGAUAAUAAACUGCUUUGUCUUCCUUCCUUUAAUUAGUAAAAAAAAUGUAUUGAGUUUGGCAGCAGAACAGCUCUGAUAAGACCCCCCCCCCCCCCCCGUGUGUGUGUGUGUGUGUGUGUGUGUGUGUGUGUGUUUGCAGGCUGAAGGUUAAAUCCACUUCUCUCCACACUAACAAACACUGAGGUCGGAGUCCAGCCGCCACACGCUGCUGUGAACGAGCUCGCCGACCCGUCCAGACGCCGCUCACACUCACUUCCUGCUCCUGUCACCACACACUUAAUGAUUUUUUUGGGUGAUUUUAAAGGUCUGUGUCACAUUUGAAACACAGCCACUGAAAUAAGAAAAGAUUCACACGAGAAGAAAGUUCAACGAGUUCAUAUCACCAUGGCAACGGCACAAUCCAACACGCGGACAGAGUUCAGUCCAACAUCACUGAGAAACAAAAAGCCCUGAGUCAGUGAGAAAGUCCCGAGAACAUCUGCAGCGAUUUAACUGACAGAAGAGUUUUUGUUUGAGGAUGAGCUCAGCUCACAGAGAGGUGAAGGGAUGACACAUAUCUGCUGCUGCUGAACAGUCUGCACACAGUCAAAACACUAAUCCAGCCGCCCGAGGACUUCACCUGCACAUCAGCUGCACACAGUCAUGUUCAGACACAUCCAGGAACUAACAAGAUGACCAGGAACUAACAACAAACUAACAACAAGCUAACAAGGUGACCAGGAACUAACAACAAACUAACAACAAGCUAACAACAAGCUAACAAGGUGACCAGGAACUAACAACAAACUAACAACAAGCUAACAAGGUGACCAGGAACUAACAAGAUGACCAGGAACUAACAACAAACUAACAACAAGCUAACAAGGUGACCAGGAACUAACAACAAACUAACAACAAGCUAACAAGGUGACCAGGAACUAACAAGAUGACCAGAAACUAACAACAAACUAACAACAAGCUAACAAGGUGACCAGGAACUAACAAGAUGACCAGAAACUAACAACAAACUAACAACAAGCUAACAAGAUGACCAGAAACUAACAACAAACUAACAACAAGCUAACAAGGUGACCAGGAACUAACAAGAUGACCAGAAACUAACAACAAACUAACAACAAGCUAACAAGAUGACCAGGAACUAACAACAAACUAACAACAAGCUAACAAGGUGACCAGGAACUAACAAGAUGACCAGAAACUAACAACAAACUAACAACAAGCUAACAAGGUGACCAGGAACUAACAAGAUGACCAGAAACUAACAACAAACUAACCAGAAACUAACAAGGUGACCAGGAACUAACAACAAACUAACAACAAGCUAACAAGGUGUCCAGAAACUAACAACAAACUAACAACAAGCUAACAAGGUGACCAGGAACUAACAAGAUGACCAGAAACUAACAACAAACUAACCAGAAACUAACA